AUUGAACGCUGGCGGAAUGCUUUACACAUGCAAGUCGAACGGCAGCACAGGAGCUUGCUCCUGGUGGCGAGUGGCGAACGGGUGAGUAACAUAUCGGAACGUACCCAGUCGUGGGGGAUAACUAUCCGAAAGGAUAGCUAAUACCGCAUACGUCCUGAGGGAGAAAGCGGGGGAUCGCAAGACCUCGCGCGAUUGGAGCGGCCGAUAUCGGAUUAGCUAGUUGGUGGGGUAAAGGCUCACCAAGGCGACGAUCCGUAGCGGGUCUGAGAGGACGACCCGCCACACUGGAACUGAGACACGGUCCAGACUCCUACGGGAGGCAGCAGUGGGGAAUUUUGGACAAUGGGGGCAACCCUGAUCCAGCCAUUCCGCGUGAGUGAAGAAGGCCUUCGGGUUGUAAAGCUCUUUCAGCAGGAACGAAACGGUCGGCUUUAAUAAAGUCGGCUAAUGACGGUACCUGCAGAAGAAGCACCGGCUAACUACGUG
rnacentral:rRNA from 1 species